rnacentral:rRNA from 1 species
UAACGGUCCUAAGGUAGCGAAAUUCCUUGUCGGGUAAGUUCCGACCUGCACGAAUGGCAUAACGAUGGCCACACUGUCUCCUCCCGAGACUCAGUGAAGUUGAAAUGUUUGUGAUGAUGCAAUCUCCCCGCGGCUAGACGGAAAGACCCCAUGAACCUUUACUGUAGCUUUGCAUUGGACUUUGAACCGAUCUGUGUAGGAUAGGCGGGAGCCUGUGAAACCACAACGCCAGUUGUGGCGGAGGCGUCCUUGAAAUACCGCCCUGAUUUGUUUGAGGUUCUAACCUGGGACAGUCAUCCUGUCCGGGGACCGUGCAUGGUAGGCAGUUUGACUGGGGCGGUCUCCUCCUAAAGGGUAACGGAGGAGUGCGAAGGUACGCUAGGUACGGUCGGAAAUCGUGCUGAUAGUGCAAUGGCAAAAGCGUGCUUGACUGCGAGACCCACAAGUCGAGCAGAUACGAAAGUAGGUCAUAGUGAUCCGGUGGCUCUGUAUGGAAGGGCCAUCGCUCAACGGAUAAAAGGUACUCUGGGGAUAACAGGCUGAUACCGCCCAAGAGUUCAUAUCGACGGCGGUGUUUGGCACCUCGAUGUCGGCUCAUCUCAUCCUGGGGCUGUAGCCGGUCCCAAGGGUAUGGCUGUUCGCCAUUUAAAGAGGUACGUGAGCUGGGUUUAAAACGUCGUGAGACAGUUUUGUCCCUAUCUGCCGUGGGCGCUGGAAGAUUGACGGGGGCUGCUCCUAGUACGAGAGGACCGGAGUGGACUCACCUCUGGUGUACCGGUUGUCACGCCAGUGGCAUCGCCGGGUAGCUAUGUGGGGAAGAGAUAACCGCUGAAAGCAUCUAAGCGGGAAACUUGCCUGAAGAUAAGUCUUCCUGGAGGCUAGACCUCCCUAAAGAGUCGUUCGAGACCAGGACGUUGAUAGGAUGGGUGUGUAAGUGCUGUGAGGCACUCAGCUAACCAUUACUAAUUGCUCGUGAAGCUUGAUCCU